UACGUAGGGUGCAAGCGUUAAUCGGAAUUACUGGGCGUAAAGCGUGCGCAGGCGGUUUUGUAAGUCUGUCGUGAAAUCCCCGGGCUUAACCUGGGAACUGCAUUGGUGACUGCAUUGCUGGAGUAUGGCAGAGGGGGGUGGAAUUCCACGUGUAGCAGUGAAAUGCGUAGAGAUGUGGAGGAACACCGAUGGCGAAGGCAGCCCCCUGGGCCAAUACUGACGCUCAUGCACGAAAGCGUGGGGAGCAAACAGG
rnacentral:rRNA from 1 species